rnacentral:rRNA from 1 species
AUGCUCCCCGGACGGGAAGAAAGCCCUCACUGUUGCUGCCAGAUUCUGUCUGAAGAUGGAGCGGCAGUUCAUGAAGGUGUGGAAGAAUCGACCCAUACACAAUGUGGAACUCCUGAGCGAAAAGAUCCAGGAGCGCGCCAGUCGCCUCAUCCUUGUAGGUGUAUCGCUAACGAGGCCGCUUUGGCUUGUGAGCUGCUCAAACGCGGGGCUAAAGCCAAUGACAAGGAGAUCAACUUAUGCAACUGCAUCCGCCAUUGCGCGCUGAGUCUUAUGUACAUUACAGGGCCGCAUUCAGAUGCCGCCGCUGCUGCAAUGGUGGGCGUUGCCAAGGAGGCCAGGAAGAUUCGUGAGUGGCUGAGGAAUGUGAACGAAUGUUAUCGCUUCAGAUCCUACUCUCGAAGAUACGAGAUUUGUCUUUGCGAUGACAUCCGCGUUGCCACCUUUGAUCUUCUGAAGUAUAUACUGUUGAAUUCUACAGGGCAUAUAUGGAACAAAGAACCGUUUGUGCUUAUGGAUUUUGCAAUAAAGAGGAACAAGAGUAAGAGACAAACGACCAUGGCAGGAACUUCAGAUAAAUAUUUAUGA